GUCGGAUAUACGGCAGCGGUGCGGCUAAACGCACUGAGGAAAGUCCGAGCAUCGCAGAGCAGGAUAGUUGAUAACGUCAACCGAGGGUGACCUCCGAGCUAGUGCAACAGAAAUAUACCGCCUUAUUUUAUAAGGUAAGGGUGGAAAGGCGAGGUAAGAGCUCACCGGGGCAGUCGUGAGGCUGCUGCCAUGUAAACCUUAUCUGAUGCAACGCCAAUGGCGGUUGUGCAGGCAAUGGCUGCUCGUCAGUCUGUACACCGUAGGCGGCUGGAGCUGUGCGGCGACGUACAGCCAAGAUAGAUUGCCGUACUCGACAAAACUCGGCUUACAGUUCGGCUC
rnacentral:RNase_P_RNA from 1 species